GGGGGGGGGGGGGGGGGGGCGGAGGGGGGGCGGGGCGAGGGGAGAGGCCCGGCGUUGGUGGGGGGGUCGAGUGGCGAACGGGUGAGUAACGCGUGAGUAACCUGCCCUUGACGUUGGGAUGAAUUCAGGAAACUGGGGCGAAUACCGGCUAGGGGCUCCUGCUGCAUGGUGGUGGUUGGAAAGUUUCGGCGGUUGGGGAUGGACUCGCGGCUUAUCAGCUUGUUGGUGGGGUAGUGGCUUACCAAGGCUUGGACGGGAAGCCGGCCUGAGAGGGUGACCGGCCACAUUGGGACUGAGAUACGGCCCAGACUCCUACGGGAGGCAGCAGUGGGGAAUAUUGCACAAUGGGCCGAAGCCUGAUGCAGCAACGCCGCGUGCGGGAUGACGGCCUUCGGGUUGUAAACCGCUUUCGCCUGUGACGAAGCGUGAGUGACGGUAAUGGGUAAAGAAGCACCGGCUAACUACGUG
rnacentral:rRNA from 1 species